GAGGGUAUAGCUCAGUGAUAGAGUGUGUGCUUAGCAUGCACGAGGUCUUGGGUUCAAUCCCCAGUACCUCCA
rnacentral:tRNA from 1 species